CACAGUUUAAAUUAUUUUUCACCCAUUUGACUAAGCAUAGAGUUACUGUUUCAGAUGAAAAAAAGGAUAAUCGACCACAACUACUCCAGAUGGAAUCGAAGCACUCCAUAUCAGCAGUUGCAUAGACUGGAGAUGGAAUCGCCCUCCAUCGCACGUUCUCUAUCACCAUAGUGCAUACAAAAGAGUAAAUUGGAGACAUUUAUAGGAGUUACUAAAGUUACUCAAUUACCAGUUCUUUACAAAAAGCCUUCUUCAACCGUCGAAAUUCUUGAGCUUUCAUCCCACCAGAGAUUGGUGGCUUCAGCUUCAUUGUUGCUCAAACUGGUAACCCAUUGGUGUCGGCUUCGAAUUUUGUGAUGCACGUUAACACCCUUUGAUCAUCCAAGGGCUGUUAAUAGAGUUGGGUGGCGGAUCCGGAUCUGAGAUGGUUGAACGCUCUAUAGCCAGUUAAUACUUUCGCCCACCAAUCUGCUCGGCUGUAUUUGUAACCUCUGGGUUGUGAUGGUUCUUCAUCUCUCUUACUUGAGAUUCUUUGCAUUUUUUGUUCACAUUUUAUGCAAUUGAUCGCUGGGCAUUUGAAGACGAACAGGGAUGAAAAGUUGGAUAAUUAUCCUCCUAUUUUGAAAAUAAGAGAUAAUUAUCCUCCUAAACUGAGUGGUUAUAAUUACAACACGUUGAAAAAAAAAUUGGAGCUCAAAUUUGAAACAGCAAUCAGCAGUUGCAAUUGGUUUUUUUUUCCUUUCCUGCAAAAACUAAAUCGUCUUCACUCUUAACUAUGUUACUUUGAUGUUUGAUUUAUUUUUAAUUUCCCCUUUUAUUAUUAAUUCUAGAUUUGAUCAAAUAUAUAGGCUAAUUGGUGAAUCCCCAGUGAUCGAUGCGUUUUCAAUAUAUGAGUUGGUGGUUUCAUUCCUUUUGGGUAACUUCGUUUAAUUCUUUUUUCUUCAUGUCCAUGAAUUAAUUUUAAUUAAUUUAGUAGAAAUGUUCAUUUUUGGUUUCUAGGAAAUUAAAAGUUUGAACCUUUUUUAUUUGUAUAAUCAGUUUUGAAGUUUGUUUCACAUGGAAAUCAAAUAUGGAAGAAUGAAGAGAAAUAGCGGAAGAAGAGGGAACAAAAUAGUUUUGAGUAACAUAGUUUCAAUCCUUUUCAUUUUUCCUUCUAUCCAUGAUUUUGUUUCUAACUAAUUUAAACAAAAUGAUCAUUAAAGUUUGACUCCUUUCUAUUUCUUAUAGAUUUGGGCUACAAGAGCGGAGCAAAAGAGGUCUUAAUCAUGUUUUUUUUUUUUUACUUCAUUUAGAUGGUUGAUCGACUCUCUUAUUUGGCACUCAAAGUUUUUUAUCUGCUUCUAUUUGCUAUGUAUACUUUUUUAUAGACAAUUGGUGGACAAUGUUUUGAUGGGACGGCAGUUGUCAGGUAGAACGAUGAUCUAUGCUUUAUUUUAUGGGCAUGCCCAUUUUCUUAGCAUGUCUCUCAUAUUUCCCAUUCUGUUUUUCUUAUUUUUCAAAUCACGCUAUUUUCUUUCUCACUCUUCACCUGUAGAGCCAUCAGGUAUGUUGAAGUGGUUGUAUAUGUUCGAUGUGAAAGAACUGGGGUGCUCUGAGGGGCUACGUGAAGGAGGAAACAAAGAAGAACCAUGGGAAGACAUCUACAAUCGAUCCAAGAACAGUGAUUAUGGAAUUUGGGUUCAACUUCUUCUUAUUUCCAGUUCAUGGCUCAUUCAGGCUGCAAAGGAUUUGAUUACUUUCUUUUUAGGAAUAUGAAAUGGAACAACUUCAAAGUUCGCGUGUAAUUAAUUGUCUUAUCAAGUAAUUAUCUGUAUCUUA